CAAGAAGACUCUGGGAAAAUACAGGCCAGUCAACCUAACCUCAGUCUCCAGGAAGAUUAUGGAACAAAACCUUUCAGAAACCAUUUUUAGGCACAGGAUAGACAAGAAGAUAGAAAGGAAUAGCCAGCAUGGAUUUAACAAGCAUAAUUUGUGCUUAACUUGAUUGCUUGUGAGAUGAAACAACUGGGUCUGUGGACAAGAGUCUGCAAGCCUCUCACAGUACCCUUUCAGACAAAUAUGUAGAAGAUAAGGCAGGUGGAGAAUUGGCUUAACAUUCAGACUUGAAGGUUUGUGAUCAGCCAUGGAAAGGCAAUCUGACAGUAGGAAGAUAAGAAGAUGAAGCCUGAUUCUUCUUGGAGAUGCACAAUGACAAGGCUAUAAAAGACUGAACAGCUCACAGGCACAAAUAAUUUUUCAGGUAUGUGCUGCUAUGAUUCUUGGUCAACUGAAAUAAAGGAUUUUUUGGUGCCAGUAAAACAUGAGAACAA